rnacentral:rRNA from 1 species
GAUGAACGCUGGCGGCGUGCCUAAUACAUGCAAGUCGAGCGAACAGACGAGGAUCUUGCUCCUCUGACGUUAGCGGCGGACGGGUGAGUAACACGUGGAUAACCUACCUAUAAGACUUGGAUAACUUCGGGAAACCGGAGCUAAUACCGGAUAAUAUAUUUACCCGCAUGGUUCAAUAGUGAAAGACGGUUUUGCUGUCACUUAUAGAUGUAUCCGCGCCGCAUUAGCUAGUUGGUAAGGUAACGGCUUACCAAGGCAACGAUGCGUAGCCGACCUGAGAGGGUGAUCGGCCACUCUGGAACUGAGACACGGUCCAGACUCCUACGGGAGGCAGCAGUAGGGAAUCUUCCGCAAUGGGCGGAAGCCUGACGGAGCAACGCCGCGUGAGUGAUGAAGGUCUUCGGAUCGUAAAACUCUGUUAUUAGGGAAGAACAAUUGUGUAAGUAACUAUGCACGUCUUGACGGUACCUAAUCAGAAAGCCACGGCUAACUACGUG